ACCUAAAUAUUUCAAUGCAGAAUCAUACCUUAUUUUUGUUAUUAUAUGCAACUUCUUUACCACUCUUACAUAUGUAUUUAUGUAAGUAUUAUUCAAUGCUACGUGUAGCUAAAGUACCAAAUCAUGAAAGUGUUGGAUUGUUUACAGACUCAAGGACACUUGGAUAGUCUUCCCAGAAAAUUAGAGGUGUUCAGGAGGCAUAUGGGGUUGCUAACAUUUUAGGCACAGUAGACUGCACCCAAGUAAAAAUAUUUCCAUAACCUUUACCGCAUGGCGUACAGUUUCUAAACAGAAAAGGAAUUCAUUCGCUAAACGUUCAGUUGAAAUCUUCCAAUAAAAGGCGAACCUGAAGCGGAAAUGGAAGGGGGCGCUGCUCGAGGGAUGCAUUACAUGCAGAGAAGCGUGCCCUAUUAAUAAAUAAAUAUUUCGCCUAGUAUUAUUUUA